rnacentral:misc_RNA from 1 species
GAGAGGAAGAUGAGCACGGGAGAUAGAUUUGUUAAAGGAGGUAAAAUUUUUAGAGGAUUCAAAAUCUCAAAAAUCUUAGCUUUUUCAGCUGUAUUGGAAGGUUUUGCUAUUUUACCUAUUUGCCUUUAUCUUACCUAAAAAUUUUACUCGUCCAAACACACUAUAACCCUAUGUUUGGAUCUUCCUUUCUAUUACUUGGAUAGGCUAUUAGAAUUGAAAAAAGUUAAAA